CGGAACGUGCCCAGUAGCGGGGGAUAACUACGCGAAAGCGUAGCUAAUACCGCAUACGCCCUUAGGGGGAAAGCAGGGGAUCGCAAGACCUUGCACUAUUGGAGCGGCCGAUAUCGGAUUAGCUAGUUGGUGAGGUAAUGGCUCACCAAGGCCGCGAUCCGUAGCUGGUUUGAGAGGACGACCAGCCACACUGGGACUGAGACACGGCCCAGACUCCUACGGGAGGCAGCAGUGGGGAAUUUUGGACAAUGGGGGAAACCCUGAUCCAGCCAUCCCGCGUGUGCGAUGAAGGCCUUCGGGUUGUAAAGCACUUUUGGCAGGAAAGAAACGGCGCGUGCUAAUACCAUGCGCAACUGACGGUACCUGCAGAAUAAGCACCGGCUAACUACGUGCCAGCAGCCGCGGUAAUACGUAGGGUGCAAGCGUUAAUCGGAAUUACUGGGCGUAAAGCGUGCGCAGGCGGUUCGGAAAGAAAGAUGUGAAAUCCCAGGGCUCAACCUUGGAACUGCAUUUUUAACUACCGGACUAGAGUAUGUCAGAGGGAGGUGGAAUUCCACGU
rnacentral:rRNA from 1 species